rnacentral:rRNA from 1 species
AACGUAGGACGCAAGCGUUAUCCGGAGUUACUGGGCGUAAAGCGCGGGCAGGCGGCUCGAAACGUCUGAUGUGAAAUCUCCUCGCUCAACGGGGAGAGGCCAUUGGAAACGGUUGAGCUGGAGGGCAGUAGAGGUAGGCGGAAUUCCGGGUGGAGUGGUGAAAUGCGUAGAGAUCCGGAGGAACACCAGAGGCGAAGGCGGCCUACUGGGCUGCACCUGACGCUGAGCCGCGAAAGCCAGGGGAGCAAACAGG